rnacentral:rRNA from 1 species
GUGGGGAAUAUUGGACAAUGGGCGAAAGCCUGAUCCAGCCAUGCCGCGUGUGUGAAGAAGGUCUUCGGAUUGUAAAGCACUUUAAGUUGGGAGGAAGGGUAGUAACCUAAUACGUUGCUACUUUGACGUUACCGACAGAAUAAGCACCGGCUAACUUCGUGCCAGCAGCCGCGGUAAUACGAAGGGUGCAAGCGUUAAUCGGAAUUACUGGGCGUAAAGCGCGCGUAGGUGGUUCAGUAAGUUGGAGGUGAAAUCCCCGGGCUCAACCUGGGAACUGCUUUCAAAACUGCUGAGCUAGAGUACGGUAGAGGGUGGUGGAAUUUCCUGUGUAGCGGUGAAAUGCGUAGAUAUAGGAAGGAACACCAGUGGCGAAGGCGACCACCUGGACUGAUACUGACACUGAGGUGCGAAAGCGUGGGGAGCAAACAGGAUUAGAAACCCGAGUAGUCC